CUCAGGUUACCUAAAUUUAUCUGUAUCAGUGUUUGAAAUUCAAUAUAUAGGCUAACAGAAGCUACAGGUAAAAACAUCAGAGAAGCAUGGAGCAUAUCAACUUACGACAUAUUAAAACACUCAUGCAGACGUUUCACUCGCGAGAGAGAAAUAAAGACACCGGAAAAGCAAGUAUUUUAAAAUAAAAAAUAAAAGCCUAAAUAAAGCAGUCGGACAAGGAGGCCUCCUGGUCUUGGUAAGGUUUCCGUGCUCAGAUGUAUCUGUCGGAUUCCCUGCCUCUGUGUGGAUGGUUUAAAGUGCAAACAAUAGCAGUGACGAUGUACAACAUAAGUCUGGUGCGCACAUACAGUUGUCUGACACAUACUUGGUGAAUUAAUGUCCAAAACACAUUCCGGUUUACCCAUCCUGAUUGAUGGCGCAUGUGACAACAAAUACAUUUCUCCUCUAUGAAUUACAUUUACAUAUACAGCGUUAAUUUUGAUAGGCUAAUAGCCUAGAAAAAAAAUAUUCUUUUCUACAACACUUCAAAAACAAAUCUACAAAUGCAAGUUCAAAUAUUGAUUUAUUUUUUUAUGCAUUACCACAGCGACUCUGAAAUCAUGAGUCAGCUACAGCGUGUCUAGAUCCAUCAUGUUAAACUGAACAUGUAUCCCCUCUUCAUGGUGAUGGAUGCCCUUCAUAAUAUUGCAUUCAUACACUGCAGCAUUCAGCACAAUAAAUAUAUAUCUUGCAUACAGCAUUAAAGGGACCCCUCCAGACCCCUAAAGCACUUUAGAUUUCUGAAAAGCUUUAUGUGUGAAGAGUGUGUCCUAUUUUUUCCAUUUUGGAAAAAGUGCAGCUUUCAAUAAAAAUUGACACUUUUAUAAAUUAUACUGGUUGCACACACUGGCUUUUCAAGCAGACAACUGGUCCUGUUACUUCCUGGUUUGAUUAGCUUAGUUGCACUGAACUCAAGAGGCAGCCAAUUGCCCAGAGCACCCGCCUUGCAAAGACUUCCCAUUGAGCUGUAUUGGGAAGUCUGUGAUUGGACAGCCGUCGAACGUCUGGGCUGGAUUAGAAGACAAGGGCUUGCAAAACUCAGCAGAAAAGAGAUCUGCAGUUUUUUCGAACUGUUUUUAGAUAUAACUCGAAUGAAAAAUUUCAUAUUUAAAUGCGUGCAAGUUUUCACUUUGAAUUUGGGAAGUUGAGUUUCCCUUUAAGGUUCUGCUAUUUGCAGGGCAGGUCUUUCCAUGUGUUGCCCAGCAAUAUGUAUGAUUGAUGUGCCCGGGAAAAUAAAAUAGAUCAGACAACACUUGACCAGCACCCACAUUUUGGUCUUUGAUAAACACACUGUACUUGAUCCAACCAAUGGAAACAAAACACAAGGUUUACUAUGGUGGCACUGGUCAUAAAGUAAAUUUACAGAGCAGGAUUCAUCAUUUCAAUGAAGUUGUUAUGGUGCAUGGAGUGUUCCUUUAAGCUAAAGUUAUUUUGGUAACAGUAGUGUCCCUUCAAGCUCUUUUAUUAUUGCUACAGCGAACUCUUCUGGAGUGUCCUUUAUUUUCUGAAUUGUUAUAGAAUUAUUUCAUGUGAUAAAAAAAAAAAUAGGUUUGUUAUCUUGUUCCAUACUUGAAAUAACUUCAAGUCUACCAGCCAAUCUGCUAUGGGUGACUGCACAAAUGGGCUCUGCAACCCUGUGUUUAUAAGCUGCGGAUGUCUCGAAGGUACAUCUAAUGUGAAAUAUGUGUCAGGAUUCAGAACAAUUAUCUGUCCGCAUCCCCCUCCUCCAGUACCACAUCUGCCAGCACUAACUCAUAAGCUGUUUAUAUAGAAUGGAAGGGACAAUCAUGCAUUGUAAGAACUAUGCAAUAUUUCCACUGUAACAAUAUCUCACUUUCACAAGAAGUAAUUACGUUUAUCUCAUCAGUAAACCUCACCUGCAGAUAGUGCACCCAAACAGGUUUCCUAUAUAAUUACAUGGAAAC